AGAGUUCUUCGCCUCGCGCCAGGAUUCUGAGGCCUCCCCAGCCAUGUGGAACUCAAUAUCCGGAGAGAGAGAGAGAGAUUCCUGUAGAAUACAAGACAAGACUAUCACAAUGAGCUGAAAUGUUGGGUCUGUGAAAGUAAUGAGAAGCACAGUGGAAAUAAGUUUCUGAAGGAUGGAAGAGGCUGGAGGCUGGCUAGUGGGAGAAGGUUCCCAGACACGUGAGAGACCCAGCAACAGGAUGCAGCAGGAAGAUGUUGUCUAUGACGUCAGAGCCCUCACCAGACACUUAAUUUGAUGGCAACUUGAUCUUGGACUUCUCAGUCUCCAGAACUAGUGCCACAUCAUUGUUAUUCCCCCAAGAUCCUGGAUUCCAGACAGCCCAGUGGAGCACCAUAGAAAGAACUUUCAGGAAGCAGAGAAUGGUUCAGGGAUUCUGAUUUUCCUGAACUUCCUCCUCCCUAUCCACCUCCAAUUAGGAAAAAAGAAGAAAAAAAAGAUUAAACACGUCCAGAAUGUUAAAAAUCCAGUAGGGAUUUUAAAUGUUCACUAUUACAGCACAUACAUUUAUACACAAGGAGGUCUGAAGGCUUUCUGGUUUCAAUUAAGAUUAUUAUCUCCUUUGAGUGAUGGUUUCUCCUUUUUUCCCCCAGAAUUCCCUUUGGCUGAUCUAUUUUAAAAGAGUAUGAGCUAGGGAUAACUAGGCUUAUUUGUAUUGAGUCUACUUUCCCCUCCAGGUCUCUUUGUCUUAAAUUCUGAAGUCCCUUUUCCUAUCCUGCUAAAGGUUAGCAGCUUGAAAUCAAGGACAUGAGUCAUUGUUACUUUUCAUGUGGAAGAUAAGCUCUGUGGCUUUUAUAGCAAAAAGUAUAUACAAUUCUAAAAUUAAAGUGCAAGUCAGAAAGGCCAUUGGGGCUGUGAAAAGUCCUUAUCUAAAUCAGAAGACCAAGGUCAAGUUUGUAUCAUGCCUAUUAGUACAUGGGUUUCAUUGGUUAAGUUACCAAACCUCUGAGCCUCAGUUUCCUUAUCAGUCAAAUGAGUGCAAUAAUUCCCGCCCUAUCAUCUGACAAAUUAUUGAGAAAUUCUAAUUACAUGCCUAUAAUUUUCAGGUCUUUGUUUUUCAGGUCUUUGUUAAGCAUCAUGCACAUAAACGUUUGUAUUACACUUUCUUUAGCAGUAUUUGAACAUGGUACCUUAUUCAAUGUUCUGAAACAAAUCAUGAAUACUUCCUGGUGUGGUGAUAAUAUCUUCAUAAACUUGUGACACCCGAUGGAAUGUGAGUCGGUUUUGUAAUAGCCUUUAAAAACUUCCCUCAAUACAUAAUAAAGAAUGGUAAAAAA
ensembl:lncRNA novel transcript